rnacentral:lncRNA from 1 species
UGUGGAUUUUUUGCAUGUCCAUCCUUCCAGCAGACAACUGGAGAUGUAUUGUCCCCAGAGGGUACAAUAGAGAAUCUUCCGUCACAAGUCAGCAACCAGCAUAUGUGAGUGACAGCAUGUGUCCCACUCAGAAAUGAGAGUGUAUUAGUCCGUUUUCAUGCUGCUGACAAAUACAUAACAUAGUCCGGGACGAAAAAGAGGUUUAAUUGGACUUACAUUUCCAUAUGACUGGGGAGGCCUCAGAAUCAUGGCGGGAGGGAAAAGGCACUUCUUACAAGGCAGCAGCAAGAGAAAAUGAGCAAGAAGCCAAAGCAGAAACCCGUGAUAAACCCAGCAGAUAGUGAGACUUAUUCACCAUCAGGAGAAUAGCACAGGAAAGACCCACCCCCCUGAUUCAAUUACCUCCUCCUAGGUCCCUCCCACAACACAUGGGAAUUCUGGGAGAUACAAUUCAAGUUGAGAUUUGGGUGAGGGCAUGGCCAAACCAUGUCAGAAAGGGAUGAAGUGACAGCAUAUCUUGAUGUGUGUGAUGGUUUUAUGAGUUAUUACCUAUUUCAAAAAUUAUUGCAAUGUGUAAAAAAGAACAAGGACUUGUACUAUCUGACUUUAAGGCUUACUAUAAGCUAUUACAGACAAGACAUCAGGAGUGACAAGUAGAUAAACAGACUGAGUUCAGAGACUUGAAACUGAUCCACAGCUAUACAGUCAAUAAAUGGGUUUUCAAUAAAAGCAGUUCAGUAAAAGAAAAUAAAUCAUUUCAAUUAAUGGACUUUUAUAUGGAUGUGGGAAGACCAACAAUACAUACAAGCUAGUUUGUGCUGCAGAGAUCUUAUUUCCUAGGAGGCUUGGAGGGGGACCUUCUGCUGUCUGUCCUCAUGGGAUGCACAAGACACAAGGAAACAGUCUUUCAGUUUUAAAUACAGUGAUAGGUCUGAGGAGAUAGAUACAGCUGCAAUUUUUUUUUUUUAAUGAGAUGGGAUUCUCACUGGUCUUGAAUUUCCGAGCUCAGUGCAGGCUUCCCCUAGGUCGGCCUAUGAAAGUGUUGGGAUUAAUAGGCGUGAGGCACUGCACCCGGCCACAACCACCAACAUUUAAAAUCACUUCCCUGGGUGGUCCUGAACCACCAACCUUCCGGUUAACAGCCGAACACGCUAACCGACUGCGCCACAGAGACAACCUCGAUUGCUUACUUUCAUCUCUAUAUACAUUAAGCAAUCACAAAAUCCUAGGGGUUGCCAUUCGCUUUCUGCGGGACAACUG